rnacentral:rRNA from 1 species
UUGAUCCCGCCGGAGGCCACAUGACUAUCGGGGUCCGACUAAUGCUUAUGCGAGUCAAGGGGGUGUCCCUCUGGGACACCACCGGCGGACGGCUCAGUAACACGUCGGUAACCUACCCUCGGGAGGGGGAUAACCCCGGGAAACUGGGGCUAAUCCCCCAUAGGCCUGAGGUACUGGAAGGUCCUCAGGCCGAAAGGGGCUCUGCCCGCCCGAGGAUGGGCCGGCGGCCGAUUAGGUAGUUGGUGGGGUAACGGCCCACCAAGCCGAAGAUCGGUACGGGCUGUGAGAGCAGGAGCCCGGAGAUGGACACUGAGACACGGGUCCAGGCCCUACGGGGCGCAGCAGGCGCGAAACCUCCGCAAUGCGGGAAACCGCGACGGGGGGACCCCGAGUGCCGUGGCAUCGCCACGGCUUUUCCGGAGUGUAAAAAGCUCCGGGAAUAAGGGCUGGGCAAGGCCUGUGGCAGCCGCCGCGGUAAUACCGGCGGCCCGAGUGGUGGCCGCUAUUAUUGGGCCUAAAGCGUCCGUAUCCGGGCCCGUAAGUCCCUGGCGAAAUCCCACGGCUCCAACCGUGGGGGCUUGCUGGGUGAUACUGCCGGCCUUUGCGUACCUUGGAGAAGGCAGGGGGGGUUACCCCCUUGGGGUAAGGGGUUGAAAAUCCU